AGUGAACGCUGGCGGUAGGCCUAACACAUGCAAGUCGAACGGCAGCACAGUAAGAGCUUGCUCUUACGGGUGGCGAGUGGCGGACGGGUGAGGAAUACAUCGGAAUCUACUUUUUCGUGGGGGAUAACGUAGGGAAACUUACGCUAAUACCGCAUACGACCUACGGGUGAAAGCAGGGGAUCUUCGGACCUUGCGCGAUUGAAUGAGCCGAUGUCGGAUUAGCUAGUUGGCGGGGUAAAGGCCCACCAAGGCGACGAUCCGUAGCUGGUCUGAGAGGAUGAUCAGCCACACUGGAACUGAGACACGGUCCAGACUCCUACGGGAGGCAGCAGUGGGGAAUAUUGACAAUGGGCGCAAGCCUGAUCCAGCCAUACCGCGUGGGUGAAGAAGGCCUUCGGGUUGUAAAGCCCUUUUGUUGGGAAAGAAAAGCAGCAGGUUAAUACCCCGCUGUUCUGACGGUACCCAAAGAAUAAGCACCGGCUAACUUCGU
rnacentral:rRNA from 1 species